UCUGCGACAUGCAUGCUUCACGCUGACUUCAUCGACUGCCAUAAAGAUCGUCUGUAUGACAGGGGUUGGGCUGUUUGAACUAGCCCUGCGGUUCAAAGCUCUAAUCCUCUCCAUGACGUCCAGCAAAUAUUCUUCUGCCUCCAGCGCUCUUUAGGUGGAGUCUUGUUUACCACGAAGACUUCCAUGCCCCCUGGUGGUCAUAAAAGGAAAAGAUCACCUUGAUGCUUCCAGCUUACCCAAAGAAGUCUCCUUUGGAUGCUAUCCUCAUCCCUUCUCACCAAGACAUCCGACAUCUCUUCCACUAGUCUUCCACCAGUGCCCACCAUUUUUAGUUCCUUGGACUUCCCUCAGCCCUAACACCUGCUGUAAUGUCCCCUGUCUCUAAUCCUAACUGAUCAUGACUGAAAAAGACCACGAAACUCUGUCCCCUGGUGCCACAGCAGAGAUUGGCAUUCUCAACCCCAGCACCCUCCCCAAGCCCCCGAGUCAGCCCCUCUUUCCAGUCCUCACCAAGGCUAGUCCCUCACCUCGUUGCCCUUCUCUUCUACCCGCCCCCUUCCCUCAUGCUCCGGCUCCAACUUCACACACACAAAGAAGGAACAGAAGCCCCGAGGCAGCUCUCCUUCAUGCUCACCAGCUCUGGGCCUACAGCGGUGUCUGCCGACCCGGCUGCCCAUCACACACUCCCACCUGCCUCAGUGGGAGCGUCCCUCCUCCUUGGCCUAAAUACUGGCCUCAGUCUCCUGCUGGGUCCUCUGGGGUCUUGCUCCACAGAUCCACUGCUCAAGCUCCAACACCUACCUCUGCCCCCCACUCAAGAGCGCCCUCAGCUCCCCCAGUAUAAAGAAACUGCCCUCAGGGUUUUGUCACCCUCCUGGCUCCUCCCAGAAUGGACAUCUGCUGUCCUUCCUUCAUCAUGGGCCGUGAGCUUCCACCUCACCCCUCCAGCUCCCUAGACCACUUUAAAGAAGACCACCAAGGACUUCCAAGUUCCUGAAUCCAAUAAUUUGACUUCAUCUCUGUUACAUUUACGCCUAGUGGCCGCUCCCUUUUCCUGAAAAUUCCUCAGUCCUUGGCUCUGAGAUGCUAUUCUACCCUCUAGACACCCUAUUCCCCAAAUUUGGAGAGGUUGCUGUUCCUGUUGGUGAUUCACCAAAGGAAGGUUUUGCUGGUUAUGUACCACUCACCCCCGGAUCCAUUCUCUGCCCAGCUCUGCCCUUUGGAAGGGUGGUCCCCAAGCACUGGCUGCCUCCUCACUAUGUCCUUAUAUGGCAAGAAGAGGAAGCUGUGGUGCUUCUUCCGCUUCUAUGAGGACACUAACCCCUUCAUGGGACAUUCAUGCUCAUGACCUGGUCUGAACCUGAUUACUUCCCAUAGGCCCCACUUCCUACAUCCGUCUCAUUGGAGGGCUACAAUUUUUACAUAUGAUUAAAGGAGGGGAAGGCAAACAUUCAGUCAUAAAACACUUUGCACGUAGAAGGGGAAAUACUACUUUGGACUUUGCUUCUGAGGUCACCCAGCAAACCAAAACAAUCACCUCCAGUAGAAUGCACCUUUGUUUAUUUUUUUCCAUGUGGAUGUCUGCAGAACCUGUGUGCACAGGAUAAUCACAUAAGGGCAUUGUUGCCUUUCAGAAUGAGGCAAACAGUAUUUCUGCUGGUUGCAGUUUUUCCAUUAAACACUUGCUAUAC